rnacentral:rRNA from 1 species
CCUACGGGAGGCAGCAGUGGGGAAUAUUGCACAAUGGGCGCAAGCCUGAUGCAGCCAUGCCGCGUGUAUGAAGAAGGCCUUCGGGUUGUAAAGUACUUUCAGCGGGGAGGAAGGGAGUAAAGUUAAUACCUUUGCUCAUUGACGUUACCCGCAGAAGAAGCACCGGCUAACUCCGUUCUCAGCAGCC